UAUAUAAUAGAUGCUCACGUUCGAGCAAAGAUACUAAAAAAAGGAAAAAAAGAAGAAUUACAAAGGAGACAGGAGAAAGCCUAAGAAGCGUAAACUUCAAACUCGGCCCACCUCCUGGCUCGGCGCAGGAGUCGACGAUGGCGGAGCCACCUCUCCUUCAGCGGCCAUACUCCCCAGCGGAGUCGACAGUUGGGACGCCAGUUCUUCCCCAAGCUGGAAGUAAGGAGUCAAGGCCACCUCCUCCCCGCUGGGUAACAACGGAGGGCCUGAAGCUACCUUCCGCAGCAUGUCCUCGUCGACGCCGUGUGCUAAUGCUAACACGAACACGAACGUUGACUCCG
rnacentral:lncRNA from 1 species